GAUGAACGCUGGCGGCGUGCCUAAUACAUGCAAGUCGAGCGAAUGGAUUGAGAGCUUGCUCUUAUGAAGUUAGCGGCGGACGGGUGAGUAACACGUGGGUAACCUGCCCAUAAGACUGGGAUAACUCCGGGAAACCGGGGCUAAUACCGGAUAACAUUUUGAACCGCAUGGUUCGAAAUUGAAAGGCGGCUUCGGCUGUCACUUAUGGAUGGACCCGCGUCGCAUUAGCUAGUUGGUGAGGUAACGGCUCACCAAGGCAACGAUGCGUAGCCGACCUGAGAGGGUGAUCGGCCACACUGGGACUGAGACACGGCCCAGACUCCUACGGGAGGCAGCAGUAGGGAAUCUUCCGCAAUGGACGAAAGUCUGACGGAGCAACGCCGCGUGAGUGAUGAAGGCUUUCGGGUCGUAAAACUCUGUUGUUAGGGAAGAACAAGUGCUAGUUGAAUAAGCUGGCACCUUGACGGUACCUAACCAGAAAGCCACGGCUAACUACGUGCCAGCAGCCGCCGUAA
rnacentral:rRNA from 1 species